UAUGGAAGAGGAUGGAGUAGGAGGAGUAGAGGAGGUGGCAGCAGGCCUGCCUGCAAGUCGUGGCGGUGUCACCAACUCCUCUGCAGAGCCACGCAUUCCAUGCUUGGCAGCCGUCAGCAGGUUUACCCAAUGCGCAGUGUAGGUGAUAUACCUGCCCUGACCAUGCUUUGCAAACCAGGUAUCAGUGGUCAGAUGGACCCUUGCCCCAACACUGUGUGCCAGACAUGC